rnacentral:lncRNA from 1 species
GUAUGUGUUCCCUUGGUUGCAUGACAAUAUUCAAGACAACUUUGUAAAUAAUAGAUAAAAAAUUUUAAUUUUUAACAUCUAGUCUUUCUAGAUGUAUAGAGUCUCACAAAGUAUAAUUUUGUAAAUAAGUCAUUGUAAAAUUUCAUGGUUUCAUUGUGUUUUGCAAAUGUCUUGGCAAAGAACUUGAUAAAAUUUUGGGCUUCUUGACCUAUACAUAUUUUGGUAUCUCUUUAUUGGGUUGUUUAGUGUAAGGAAAAAGUUGAAAGAAUGUAUUUUCAACUUUGAAUUGUAAUCAGAAAGAAAAUAUAUUUUAACCAUUGUUUAGUGCUUCUGUUAUAUAUUGAAAACUUCAGUCUUAAUUUUUUAGUUACAUUGUUGAUAGGGCAUUAUAUAAAUAUACUUCUAUAGUCAUUGUAGGAAAUGUCUUUUAUAAGGAAAUAUUUCUUCUACCUCUGAAUUACACAGUUUUGUAUUUACUUGGACUGCAUGGCAACAUUCAAAAAACACUUUGAAUAACAGAUAAAAAUGACAUUUUCUAAAGCUCUAGGUUUGCUAGAUGCAUGAAGUCUCAGCAAAGUAUAAAUUUGUAAAUAUUUCAUUGUAAAAUAUCAUAAAUUGACUCCUUCAAGUGUUCAGUAGUACAAUAGGUAAUCAAUAAUUGGCCUCUUGGGACUGACUGUAACGUUUUGGUGUUUGUAUGUUUUGAGACAGAGCAAUAGAUUGCCUCCAUAUCUUUUAAACAUUCAGGUCUCUUGUAUAAGAAAAAUAACCAUUGUGGGGUUUUUGUGCAUCUUAUACUAAUAUGAAACAAACAAAACCCCCUGGAUAUUUUAUCCUUAGAAAGAUAGAGGAAGACAGGAGAAGGGAAUGGUCAUUGUAAAUUAGAUAGAUAUAUUGAGUGUUAGAAGAUUAUUUAAAUAAUUGUUCUUUUGUUAUUUGUACUCUUUGCAAAUUUAUUUAAAUGCAUAUUCAUGUAUAUCAUAAGUAUAUAUUCACAUGCAUGUCUAAAUUUAGUGGCAUAGAUCUAUCUCAGGGGUAUUAAUCUUUCAUUCGUGUACUGAUUUGUGUUUUAUUUUCAUUUAAAAAAUUGUGGAACCAGUGGCUGGGCAUGGUGGCUCAUGCCUGUAAUCCCAGCACUUUGGGAGGCUGAGGCGGGUGGAUCACCUGAGGGUCAGGAGUUCGAGACCAGCCUGGCCAACAUGGUGAACCCCCCCGUCUCUACUAAAACUACAAAAAUUAGCUGGGCAUGGUGGUAGAUGCCUGUAAUCCCAGCUACUCGGGAGGCUGAGACAGGAGAAUUGCUUGAACCCUGGAGGUGGAGGUUGCAGUGAGCCGAGAUUGCACCAUUGCACUCCACCCUAGGCAACAAGAGCAAAACUCUGUAUAAAAAAAAAAAUUAAAAAAAUUGUGGAACUAGUGUUUUAUUUCUAAGCUUGCAGAUAUUUCUAGAAUUCCACUUACUGUUACAUCUAAAUGUAUGCUGAUUUUUCGUUAAAUAAUAAGCAGGUCUGUAAACAUUUUCUUUUCUAACCUCUUUCCAUAUUUAUAUGAGUAUAGAAAAACUGUGGUUAUGAAUAUUUUUUACUUUUUGAUAACUUUUAAAAACUAUCAGAUAUGUGAUAAUCAGAUAGAUUUCAAGUUUACUUACGGUGUAAAUUAGGAAAAUUUUUAUAAAGAUUCUAUCCAGUAUUGAUCAAAAGUAUAAAUUGUGUGUCUUUUUAAGCAGCAGUUUGGCAAUGACAAUCAAAUUGAUACUAUGUAAAAGUUUUGAAAUGUUAUAGCUGGCUACUGGGGUUUUUAUCUAUUCCAGUUCUCGAAAAUUUACCAAAUAUAGGUUGGCUGUAAAAUCAUAACUAUCUGAGGUAUCUGUCAAUAAAUCAAAGAUUGCAAUGAUGAUAGCUUCUUUAACAUGAAUGUAAUUCUAACAGUAAAAAAUUUCUAUAUGGAAUAUGUUUUGUAGUCCUAAAUUGAUAUUUUAUAUCAUUUUUCAGUGAACAAGUAGUUGUUUACAGGUGUCUGUGCAUAUGUCUCAAGUUUUUCUAACUAAAAUAUUAAUAGUUAAGUCUAAAAAUAUGAAUUAUACGUGGGGCUUGUCAUUCUGACAUUUAAUACUUCAGCGUGGUGAUAAUGGUGAUAUAAUAUACUGUUUGAAAUUGUAACACAUGAGUUAAAAUCAAAAGAUUGAUAAGUACAUAUUUGUAUAUUGCUACAUGACAAAAAUCUAGGAAGAAUAUGAUUCACAUGAAAAUUCUUUGGAAGGACAUGACAGACUUUUAACAGUCCUGUAUAGUGAAAGGAGAAUAGAACGACUACUUCUACUUUCUGUAUCUGAAAUUUUCAAAAGCUAUUUCAAAAUGAACAUUUAAACAACAGGAAAUUUUAGAGACAACCACUUUGUGCCUGUCUUCAUCCUUGACAUUCAACAUCCUAGGAACAAUGGGCUGUUGUAUUCAACUUCUUAUUCCCAACAGCCAUUAUGAAUGGUUUUUGAUUGAUCUCACAAAGAGCAUGUGCUUUAGACAUUAAUGCAGCGACUACCAUGAAACAGAGUAUUGGAUUACCUAAGGAAAGAAGCAGAGGAUGGAAUUUGAGGCAAUCAGGAUGAGUGAAAAAUUGAUUUGCAGCUGACCUGCAAAUGGAAUCAUCAGGAACAUCCCUUUCUCAUGGAGUCCCUUAAUUUACAAGUUAACUGCAAACAUAGGAGAUGAUAGUUCCAAGAAGGAACAUUUUAUCGUCUUUGUUUUUAAUCUCAAGAAUGGUACCUACCAUCAGUGAAUGACCUGUUGCAGUGCUUUCAUUGAAGUGUUCUUCGUUCCCUCAGCAAUAUGAUUGUGAUGACUGAAAAAGGGAAACUGUGCCACUAUUUGUACCAUCAUUUUCACCAAAAUCUAAAAAUGCUUUUUAUGACGUAUGGAGACAUUCUUCAUGUUUGUUUCAGUGGACACUCCUUGCAGAUGUAAAAAACUGAGAAAACUCACUUUUGGAAAGUGACCUAAAGAGUGUCAUUGAAGUGAAUUUUAAGUAGGCACGAUGAUUGUUUUCAUGGUUGCUGUUGGAUCAUAUCUCAGGAGCUGGAAUGACAGACAUUAUUGAACAAAGAAAUCAGGAUAGUGGAACUUAAAGGGCUUCAUCUCAGUGCUUUCAUAAGUAUGAAGUGCAUAUAUUUAUAAUUUUCACUAAUCACAGGAAUAUUCCCUCUGUAUACUUGCAUUUUUUUCUAUCAAUUGACGCUUACAAUUAUUUUUGCAAGUUGGAAAAAAAUGCAGUAUUAAUUUCAUUUGCAACAAAUUUAAUAGAUUAAUUAGGAGAGAAUAGAUAUCUUUAAAAUUGAGUCUUCUGUCCAACUGCAAGUUAUAGCUGAGGUGGUACCAGUUUAAGAAGUGAGAACUUCUUCACUGACUGAAAUUUGCAUAUCAAUCCAAAUCAUUGUGCUUAUUUACUAUUUUUGUAGACGUCAUUCUUCAAAAGUGCUGCAUCUUCAAUAGUCAAGGAGGACAAAGACAUCUUUCCUGCAGGUGGUGACCAUGUGGAUAAUAGGAUCAUAGACAAAUGGUGGUUCCAUCUACAGCAUCACCGAAAUGCUGUUGUUACUGCUUCUUUCUGGGAUCUUCUUGCAUCUUUGCUUCUAAAGGGGCACACCUUUUAUAGAAGUACGUCCAGGAAUAGAAGUGACCUGCUUUUUCGCAAGAUAAAUGUCUAGCUGUGGCAUUGUUGGAUCAUCAGUUUCGUUUCAGUUAGAUGCUGUGAAAUUGCUCUUGAAAAUGGUGUCCUCUGCCACCACAGAACGGUGUUGUAAUGGAAGUGCCAAUUUUCAUAAAAACUUGUGUGCAACAGGUAUUAAGAAUUUUUGAGGUCGGGCGCAGUAGCUCACGCCUGUAAUCCCAGCACUUUGGGAGGCCUAGGCAGGUGGAUCACCUGAGGUCAGGAGUUCCAGACCAGCCUGACCAACAUGGUGAAAUCCCAUCUCCACUAAAUACAAAAAAUUAGCUGGGCGUGGUGGCAUAUACCUGUAAUCCCAGCUACUUGGGAGGCUAAGACAGGAGAAUUGCUUGAACCCAGGAGGCGGAGGUUGCAGUGAGCCGAGAUUGCACCACUACACUCCAGCCUGGGUGAUGAGCGAAACUCCAUCUCAAAAAAAAAAAAAAGCUUUAAAUUUUUAGCCAAUCUAAUAGGUGAAAAUGGCAUUUUUAACAUAAGUCUGACUUAAACAAUUAAUGGCCGUGGCUAAAAGAAGAAUCAAAUAAUGAUGUGUGAUUUAUAAGAUAAGGAGGCAGUACCCCAUUUUUCCUCACUCUACCCAAAAAUCCUGUUUAUCUGAGCAAGAAAUCAUUAAUAUUUUCUAAAUCCGCUUGGAAGUUCAUAAACGCCCUAAGUAUACCUUAUACCAGCGUUUUUAUGACUUUGUAUUUUUGAAAUAAUUUUAGAUUCAGAAUCGCAAGAAUCAUGCAGAGCGACCUGAUUUACGCUUCACCUAGAUUGACUUUUUAUUCUGCAUCGUUGUGUUCUUCCCCCACUUCCUCUUCUUGCUCUCGCCUCCCUUUAUAUGUUUAUACAUAGCAUUAUCAUUUUAUGUACUAUUUGAAUGA